GAAUAAAUACUUUUCUUGAUGCCUUCGAAUGAGUUCUUCAGACAAUAAACUCAUCGAUUGUAGUUCUCCAUGGACUGGAGUGGCCUGUUCUACUGUCUUAACUAUAUAGUCAGAUCGAAGUCUAAAGGGAUUCUUAUAUAUAAGAUCAGAGGAAAUAGGAGGUAAUUUCCAGUUCUGUAAACUAGUAUCUACAUCAGAUGCUAACAAUAUUUCUUUAUUUUUGUUUUUGUUUUUUGAGAUAAUAGAGCUAGAUGAGCUAGAUCUCCUAGA
rnacentral:lncRNA from 1 species